rnacentral:lncRNA from 1 species
GUGUUUAUUAAUUCAACAAUAUAGAGAAUACAAAGCAAUUUAGCAAUUGGCUUCUAUCUGUUACUCUCUACAAACUAACCAGAUGAACUUUGUAUUUAUAGGUCAACCCUAGAAGAGUCCUAAAAUGCAAGAAAAUAUAUUACAAUUAGGAGACCCAAUUUCAACAGGAUUUUGUCUCCUUUUAUUGGAUGCAAUUAGAUUCCCUUUCCAAAUAAAAGUCUAACAUGCAUCUUCAAAAGACUCCUAAUCGAUUUCUAGGAUUCCACUU